UACGGGGGGGGUAAGCGUUGUUCGGAAUUACUGGGCGUAAAGGGCGCGUAGGCGGCGGUCACAGUCAGAUGUGAAAUUCCUGGGCUUAACCUGGGGGCUGCAUUUGAUACGUGGUUGCUUGAGUGGGGAAGAGGGUCGUGGAAUUCCCAGUGUAGAGGUGAAAUUCGUAGAUAUUGGGAAGAACACCGGUGGCGAAGGCGGCGACCUGGUCCUUGACUGACGCUGAGGCGCGAAAGCGUGGGGAGCAAACAGG
rnacentral:rRNA from 1 species